GCUUAGGUAGCUUAGUUAGUAAAGCACUUGUCAAGCGUAUAAGGGUCGAGAGUUUAAAUCUUACCCAAGGUG
rnacentral:tRNA from 1 species